rnacentral:rRNA from 1 species
UAUCAUGCAGUCGAACGCUUCUUUCCUCCCGAGUGCUUGCACUCAAUUGGAAAGAGGAGGGGGGACGGGUGAGUAACACGUGGGUAACCUACCCAUCAGAGGGGGAUAACACUUGGAAACAGGUGCUAAUACCGCAUAACAGUUUAUGCCGCAUGGCAUAAGAGUGAAAGGCGCUUUCGGGUGUCGCUGAUGGAUGGACCCGCGGUGCAUUAGCUAGUUGGUGAGGUAACGGCUCACCAAGGCCACGAUGCAUAGCCGACCUGAGAGGGUGAUCGGCCACACUGGGACUGAGACACGGCCCAGACUCCUACGGGAGGCAGCAGUAGGGAAUCUUCGGCAAUGGACGAAAGUCUGACCGAGCAACGCCGCGUGAGUGAAGAAGGUUUUCGGAUCGUAAAACUCUGUUGUUAGAGAAGAACAAGGACGUUAGUAACUGAACGUCCCCUGACGGUAUCUAACCAGAAAGCCACGGCUAACUACGUGCCAGCAGCCGCGGUAAUACGUAGGUGGCAAGCGUUGUCCGGAUUUAUUGGGCGUAAAGCGAGCGCAGGCGGUUUCUUAAGUCUGAUGUGAAAGCCCCCGGCUCAACCGGGGAGGGUCAUUGGAAACUGGGAGACUUGAGUGCAGAAGAGGAGAGUGGAAUUCCAUGUGUAGCGGUGAAAUGCGUAGAUAUA